rnacentral:rRNA from 1 species
GAUGAACGCUGGCGCCGUGCCUAACACAUGCAAGUCGAACGGACAUUUUUUGGAAAGUUCUUCGGAACUGGAAUCUAAAUGUUAGUGGCGGACGGGUGAGUAACGCGUGAGCAAUCUGCCUUUCAGAGGGGGAUAACAGCCGGAAACGGCUGCUAAUACCGCAUAAUGCAUCGAAUUCGCAUGUUUCUGAUGCCAAAGAUUUUAUCGCUGAAAGAUGAGCUCGCGUCUGAUUAGCUAGUUGGCGGGGUAACGGCCCACCAAGGCGACGAUCAGUAGCCGGACUGAGAGGUUGAACGGCCACAUUGGGACUGAGACACGGCCCAGACUCCUACGGGAGGCAGCAGUGGGGAAUAUUGCGCAAUGGGGGCAACCCUGACGCAGCAACGCCGCGUGACUGAUGAAGGUCUUCGGAUUGUAAAAAUCUUUAAUCAGGGACGAAUAAAAUGACGGUACCUGAAGAAUAAGCUCCGGCUAACUACGUGCCAGCAGCCGCGGUAAUACGUAGGGAGCAAGCGUUAUCCGGAUUUACUGGGUGUAAAGGGCGUGUAGGCGGGCUUGCAAGUUGGAAGUGAAAUCUCGGGGCUUAACCCCGAAACUGCUUUCAAAACUGCGAGUCUUGAGCGAUGGAGAGGCGGCGGAAUUCCCAGUGUAGCGGUGAAAUGCGUAGAUAUUGGGAGGAACACCAGUGGCGAAGGCGGCCUGCUGGACAUUAACUGACGCUGAGGCGCGAAAGCGUGGGGAGCAAACAGG